GCUGGCAUAGCUCAUUGGUAGAGCAUGUGCUUUCCAUUCAUGAAGGCCUGGGUUUGAUCCCCAGAACCAGAA
rnacentral:tRNA from 1 species